rnacentral:rRNA from 1 species
AACGAACGCUGGCGGCAUGCCUAACACAUGCAAGUCGAGCGCCUGUAGCAAUACAGGAGCGGCGCACGGGUGAGUAACGCGUGGGAACCUGCCCUUAGGUUCGGAACAACCGCGGGAAACUGCGGCUGAUACCGGAUGAUGUCUUCGGACCAAAGAUUUAUCGCCUUUGGAGGGGCCCGCGUCGGAUUAGGUAGUUGGUGAGGUAACGGCUCACCAAGCCUGCGAUCCGUAGCUGGUCUGAGAGGAUGACCAGCCACACUGGGACUGAGACACGGCCCAGACUCCUACGGGAGGCAGCAGUGGGGAGUAUUGGACAAUGGGGGCAACCCUGAUCCAGCAAUGCCGCGUGGGUGAUGAAGGCCUUCGGGUUGUAAAGCCCUUUCGGCGGGGACGAUGAUGACGGUACCCGCAGAAGAAGCCCCGGCUAACUUCGUGCCAGCCGCCGCAGUAAAAC